UACGUAGGGAGCAAGCGUUGUCCGGAAUCAUUGGGCGUAAAGCGCGCGUAGGUGGCCCGGUAAGUCCGCUCUGAAAGUCACAGGCUCAACCUGUGAAAGCGGGUGGAUACUGCCGGGCUAGAGUCCGGAAGAGGCGAGUGGAAUUCCCGGUGUAGCGGUGAAAUGCGCAGAUAUCGGGAGGAACACCAAUGGCGAAGGCAGCUCGCUGGGACGGUACUGACGCUGAGGCGCGAAAGCGUGGGGAGCAAACAGGG
rnacentral:rRNA from 1 species